GUGUGUGUGUAUGUGAGAAAGAGAGAGAGAGAGGGAGAGGGAGAGAGAGGGAGAGGGAGGACUGGAGCAGGAGUUGUGUAAAAGGGGCUGAAGUCCUGCGUUGCGUACUCCACCACCUCCUACACCUCCACCACGGCUGCUGCUGCUGCUGCUCUGAAAAAGUCGACUCUUCAACUGAUUUAGAAAACCGAUUUUCCACGGGGGGAUGUGAAGCGAGCCGACUCCGACACACCCUGCUGAAGGUCCGGGACUCCACCGAGCUGUGGGCGAGGCAGCGUGAACUCCUCCGGACCGAGCAGAGGGGCUCUGUCUGUCCGCGCAGGAGCGACCCGGCCGGUGGGCAAGGAAUAAGACAACCUGAAGAGGAUGAAAGAAAGGAGGAGGACUGGUUGUUUGUCACUCUUGGACUGCCCGGGUUCAGACUCUCACGCUCUCUGGCGGACUCCCCAGCACUCCCUCGCCCUCCAUGGUUCCCUAAUGGCUGACACACAGCAGUUCUUCACUGGCAAGCUUUAUGUUCCUGUACACAUGCUAAAGCUGCCAGCUGAAGAACUGCUCUGGUCUGCCCUGCCCCGGAUGACUCAAGAAGAGGAAGUGGAUCGGGGGGGCCUGUGGGAAGAGGACUGAGGAAGAAGUUUUCCACACGCUCAAACUUUAGUGACUCGAGACACCGUUGUUUUUAAAUAAAAUAAAAUGUGAGGUAUAUUUUACUUCCAGUUUGUGGUCGCACAUCUUGUUCUUCAAAAACCUGCUGAGUGUUGUUUUUCUUCUCUUAAUGCAGAACUAUUAUCAGAUGUUGUGGUUUAUUGUUGUUGAUCCUGUGGAAAAUAAAAGACAUUAAUACCAA